GAUGAACGCUGGCGGCGUGCCUAAUACAUGCAAGUCGAGCGAACAGACGAGGAGCUUGCUCCUUUGACGUUAGCGGCGGACGGGUGAGUAACACGUAGGUAACCUACCUAUAAGACUGGGAUAACUUCGGGAAACCGGAGCUAAUACCGGAUAAUAUUUCGAACCGCAUGGUUCGAUAGUGAAAGAUGGCUUUGCUAUCACUUAUAGAUGGACCUGCGCCGUAUUAGCUAGUUGGUAAGGUAACGGCUUACUAAGGCAACGAUACGUAGCCGACCUGAGAGGGUGAUCGGCCACACUGGAACUGAGACACGGUCCAGACUCCUACGGGAGGCAGCAGUAGGGAAUCUUCCGCAAUGAGCGAAAGCCUGACGGAGCAACGCCGCGUGAGUGAUGAAGGUCUUCGGAUCGUAAAACUCUGUUAUUAGGGAAGAACAAACGUGUAAGUAACUGUGCACGUCUUGACGGUACCUAAUCAGAAAGCCACGGCUAACUACGUG
rnacentral:rRNA from 1 species